AUGGGCGCCGGAGGACUGGUGGUGGAGGUGUGGAAAGAGUGGGGGAUCCAGAUACUGGUCGUCCUCAGCUUCGUGCUGCAGCUGGUGCUCCUGGUGUUCGCCGGGGUCCGUCGGCGCAAGUCCUCCGCCGCGCUGAUGAUCCUCCUCUGGCUGGCGUACCUGAUGGCGGACAACGUGGCGGUGUACGCGCUCGGCCACAUAUCCCUGGACAACCGGCCGCACGAGGACGGGCUGGUGGCCUUCUGGGCGCCCUUCUUCCUGCUGCACCUGGGCGGCCAGGACACCAUCACCGCCUACUCCCUGGAGGACAACCAGCUGUGGCGGCGCCACCUGCUGACCCUCCUGGUGCAGGCGUCGGGCACCGGCUACGCUCUCUACCGCUACAUCCCUGGCACCCCGACGCUGGUCGCGGCCACCGUACUCAUCUUCGUCGUCGGGUUCCUCAAGUACGGCGAGCGGGUGUGGGCGCUGGAGCGCGCCAACAUCGAGACCCUCGACCCGCUCCACCACGUCCUGCAGGGCACCGACGCCAGGCUGUACAGCAGGGGGGUGUCCGUGGACGCCGAGGAGGAGCUCCUGCUCGACGCCCACUACAUGUUUGGCUUCUGCAAGAGCGCCUUCCUCAACAUCGACCAGGGGUCCCGCUUCAGGAACGCCAACUUCGCGGUGGGCAGCCUCAUGCGCAGCAGGCUGUUCAACCGCGGCAUGUACAUGUACGACCUGGUGGAGGCGGAGCUCUCCAUCAUGUACGACCUGCUCUACACCAAGGCGCCCGUGAUCCACACCUGGCAGGGCUGCUCCGUCCGCGCCGUCGCGCCGGUCGCCACCGUGGCCGCCUUCUUCCUCUUCCACCUCGACGUCAAGGCCUCCUACGGCAGAGUCGACGUUGCCAUCACCUACCUCCUGUUGGUCGGCGCCGUCGCCCUGGAGAUCACGUCGGUGCUGAGGGCGCUGGGAUCCACGUGGACCUGCGCCUACCUGGACUCGUGGGAGUUCGACGAGACCAAUGUUGUGAUCAUGCGCCUCCGCCGGCUUGUCAACGCCGGAAGCAAAAGGCGGAGGUGGCUGCACUCCGUCGGGCAGCACAACGUGUUGGACUACUGCUGCCGUGAUCCGACCGAGCUCAGAGGCAGAGUCAUGGAGGCGGUGAGGCUCGGGGGUUGGUGGAAGAAACUGCAUUUCUCAAGGACCAUUCCGAUUUCAGACGAGUUCAAGGAGUUGGUGAUAGUGCACAUAGCGCAGAAGAUGCGCUUCUCUGAGAGAUGGGACUUGAUGGAGGCCCGAGGCAGCUCCGUGCUUGCCGACGCCGGGAUGAUGGAGGAUGUGGGCUGGAGCGUCGGAGGCAGGGAUUUCGCCGAGUGCAUCUUCUUCUGGCACAUCGCGAGCGACAUUUACCUCCGCUGCCACAACCACAACAGGAAGGAGCACACUCGAGAAGACCAUGAGCUAGCGGAGGCCAUCAAGGUGCUAUCCAACUACAUGGGGUUCCUGCUCCUGGUGCGCCCCGGCCUGCUGCCCGGCGGCGUUCGGCGCAACUUCCUCUCCGACAGCAGCGCCGUUUUCGAGAAAAUGUGGAGGUUUACAAAGCGUGUCUGGACAAAAGAUGAGGUGUUUCUGGACCUGAACCUGACGACCGAGGAGUUCUGCCGGUUGAUGCUUAAGAAGCAUGGCGACGGCCACGACAAGGGUGACACGGCGGCUCCCCGGACUCCGCUCAGCGGCGUACGUCUCGCCAGUAAGCUGCUCCGGAAUGAGUGGAAGUUGCCCAACAUGCUGCAGGUCAUCUUCGGGGUGUGGAUGGAGUUCCUGUGCUACGCAGCCCACCACAGCACCGAAAUCUCCCACUGCAGGCAGCUCGGCAGUGGCGGCGACUUCCUCACUGUCACCCGCCUCUUGCUGGAUCACUACAGGUUGUUUAACACCAUCGAAGGCUUGGAUUAA
rnacentral:rRNA from 1 species